UACGUAGGGUGCGAGCGUUAAUCGGAAUUACUGGCGUAAAGCGUGCGCAGGCGUUUGUAAGUCAGAUGUGAAUCCCCGGCUCAACCUGGAACUGCAUUUGUGACUGCAUCGCUGGAGUACGGCAGAGGGGAUGGAAUUCCGCGUGUAAGCAGUGGAAUGCGUAGAUAUGCGGAGGAACACCGAUGGCGAAGCAAUCCCGUGGCCUGUACUGACGCUCAUGCACGAAAGCGUGGGGAGCAAACAGG
rnacentral:rRNA from 1 species